rnacentral:tRNA from 1 species
GGUCCGCUGGCUCAAUGGCAGAGCGUCUGACUACGGUUUGAGAUUCCCAUCCAUCAAUGAUGAGAUCAAUGACCAGUUAUCAGGAGGUUCCAGGUUCGACCCCUGGGUGGAUCG